AGCGUACACGGUGGAUGCCCUGGCAGUCAGAGGCGAUGAAGGACGUGCUAAUCUGCGAUAAGCGUCGGUAAGGUGAUAUGAACCGUUAUAACCGGCGAUUUCCGAAUGGGGAAACCCAGUGUGAUUCGUCACACUAUCAUUAACUGAAUCCAUAGGUUAAUGAGGCGAACCGGGGGAACUGAAACAUCUAAGUACCCCGAGGAAAAGAAAUCAACCGAGAUUCCCCCAGUAGCGGCGAGCGAACGGGGAGCAGCCCAGAGCCUGAAUCAGUGUGUGUGUUAGUGGAAGCGUCUGGAAAGGCGCGCGAUACAGGGUGACAGCCCCGUACACAAAAAUGCACAUGCUGUGAGCUCGAUGAGUAGGGCGGGACACGUGGUAUCCUGUCUGAAUAUGGGGGGACCAUCCUCCAAGGCUAAAUACUCCUGACUGACCGAUAGUGAACCAGUACCGUGAGGGAAAGGCGAAAAGAACCCCGGCGAGGGGAGUGAAAAAGAACCUGAAACCGUGUACGUACAAGCAGUGGGAGCACGCUUAGGCGUGUGACUGCGUACCUUUUGUAUAAUGGGUCAGCGACUUAUAUUCUGUAGCAAGGUUAACCGAAUAGGGGAGCCGAAGGGAAACCGAGUCUUAACUGGGCGUUAAGUUGCAGGGUAUAGACCCGAAACCCGGUGAUCUAGCCAUGGGCAGGUUGAAGGUUGGGUAACACUAACUGGAGGACCGAACCGACUAAUGUUGAAAAAUUAGCGGAUGACUUGUGGCUGGGGGUGAAAGGCCAAUCAAACCGGGAGAUAGCUGGUUCUCCCCGAAAGCUAUUUAGGUAGCGCCUCGUGAAUUCAUCUCCGGGGGUAGAGCACUGUUUCGGCAAGGGGGUCAUCCCGACUUACCAACCCGAUGCAAACUGCGAAUACCGGAGAAUGUUAUCACGGGAGACACACGGCGGGUGCUAACGUCCGUCGUGAAGAGGGAAACAACCCAGACCGCCAGCUAAGGUCCCAAAGUCAUGGUUAAGUGGGAAACGAUGUGGGAAGGCCCAGACAGCCAGGAUGUUGGCUUAGAAGCAGCCAUCAUUUAAAGAAAGCGUAAUAGCUCACUGGUCGAGUCGGCCUGCGCGGAAGAUGUAACGGGGCUAAACCAUGCACCGAAGCUGCGGCAGCGACGCUGAUGCGUUGUUGGGUAGGGGAGCGUUCUGUAAGCCUGCGAAGGUGUGCUGUGAGGCAUGCUGGAGGUAUCAGAAGUGCGAAUGCUGACAUAAGUAACGAUAAAGCGGGUGAAAAGCCCGCUCGCCGGAAGACCAAGGGUUCCUGUCCAACGUUAAUCGGGGCAGGGUGAGUCGACCCCUAAGGCGAGGCCGAAAGGCGUAGUCGAUGGGAAACAGGUUAAUAUUCCUGUACUUGGUGUUACUGCGAAGGGGGGACGGAGAAGGCUAUGUUGGCCGGGCGACGGUUGUCCCGGUUUAAGCGUGUAGGCUGGUUUUCCAGGCAAAUCCGGAAAAUCAAGGCUGAGGCGUGAUGACGAGGCACUACGGUGCUGAAGCAACAAAUGCCCUGCUUCCAGGAAAAGCCUCUAAGCAUCAGGUAACAUCAAAUCGUACCCCAAACCGACACAGGUGGUCAGGUAGAGAAUACCAAGGCGCUUGAGAGAACUCGGGUGAAGGAACUAGGCAAAAUGGUGCCGUAACUUCGGGAGAAGGCACGCUGAUAUGUAGGUGAAGCGACUUGCUCGUGGAGCUGAAAUCAGUCGAAGAUACCAGCUGGCUGCAACUGUUUAUUAAAAACACAGCACUGUGCAAACACGAAAGUGGACGUAUACGGUGUGACGCCUGCCCGGUGCCGGAAGGUUAAUUGAUGGGGUCAGCGCAAGCGAAGCUCUUGAUCGAAGCCCCGGUAAACGGCGGCCGUAACUAUAACGGUCCUAAGGUAGCGAAAUUCCUUGUCGGGUAAGUUCCGACCUGCACGAAUGGCGUAAUGAUGGCCAGGCUGUCUCCACCCGAGACUCAGUGAAAUUGAACUCGCUGUGAAGAUGCAGUGUACCCGCGGCAAGACGGAAAGACCCCGUGAACCUUUACUAUAGCUUGACACUGAACAUUGAGCCUUGAUGUGUAGGAUAGGUGGGAGGCUUUGAAGUGUGGACGCCAGUCUGCAUGGAGCCGACCUUGAAAUACCACCCUUUAAUGUUUGAUGUUCUAACGUGGACCCGUAAUCCGGGUUGCGGACAGUGUCUGGUGGGUAGUUUGACUGGGGCGGUCUCCUCCUAAAGAGUAACGGAGGAGCACGAAGGUUGGCUAAUCCUGGUCGGACAUCAGGAGGUUAGUGCAAUGGCAUAAGCCAGCUUGACUGCGAGCGUGACGGCGCGAGCAGGUGCGAAAGCAGGUCAUAGUGAUCCGGUGGUUCUGAAUGGAAGGGCCAUCGCUCAACGGAUAAAAGGUACUCCGGGGAUAACAGGCUGAUACCGCCCAAGAGUUCAUAUCGACGGCGGUGUUUGGCACCUCGAUGUCGGCUCAUCACAUCCUGGGGCUGAAGUAGGUCCCAAGGGUAUGGCUGUUCGCCAUUUAAAGUGGUACGCGAGCUGGGUUUAGAACGUCGUGAGACAGUUCGGUCCCUAUCUGCCGUGGGCGCUGGAGAACUGAGGGGGGCUGCUCCUAGUACGAGAGGACCGGAGUGGACGCAUCACUGGUGUUCGGGUUGUCAUGCCAAUGGCACUGCCCGGUAGCUAAAUGCGGAAGAGAUAAGUGCUGAAAGCAUCUAAGCACGAAACUUGCCCCGAGAUGAGUUCUCCCUGACUCCUUGA
rnacentral:rRNA from 1 species